rnacentral:misc_RNA from 1 species
GCAAUGACAACUGAGUUUGUGGUGGGGGAUUUUGAUGAGGAGGUGAUAGACAGUGUGGUGGAUGAGAAGAAUGGGAGUGAUGAGAAUGGAGCAAUGACAACUGAGUUUGUGGUGGGGGAUUUUGAUGAGGAGGUGAUAGACAGUGUGGUGGAUGAGAAGAAUGGGAGUGAUGAGAAUGGAGGAGUUUUGAGGGGUAAAAUUGGGAAAUUUAAAGUUUGUGAUGAGCGCAUGAGGGAUUAUAUUCCUUGUUUGGAUAAUAUGGAGGGGAUUUUGGAAAGGCAUUGCCCUCCAAAAGGAAAAGGAUUGGAUUGUUUGGUGCCAUGGCCUAAAGGUUACAAACUAAGAAUAACAUGGCCAAAGAGCAGGGAUGAGAUAUGGUUAUCCAAUGUGGCCCGUACACCCUUUGCCAAAGGAAAAACAGGCAAUAAGUGGGUAGUAAGGAAGGGUGACAAGUACAUAUUUCCAGGAGACAUGACACAAUUUUCCCAGGGUGUAAAUCAAUACUUGGAUCAGAUUUCUAAGAUGGUUCCAGAAAUUGCUUUUGGCCAACGAACAAGAGUUGUCAUGGAUAUUAGUUGUGGAAUAGCGAGUUUUGGGGCAUAUCUGAUGGACCACAAUGUCAGUACAUUGUCUAUUGCAACAAAAGAUGUGCAUAACAAUCAGAUUCAAUUUGCAUUGGAACGUGGAGUGCCUGCUAUGUUCGCAGCAUUUACUACUCACCGUCUUUUGUACCCUAGCCAGGCAUUUGACAUGAUACAUUGUUCCAGAUGUAGCAUAAAUUGGACCCGUGAUGAUGGCAUUCUGCUUCUAGAGGUGAACAGAAUGCUUAGGGCAGGAGGAUAUUUUAUCUGGGCAGCAGAACCCGUUCACAAACAUGAAGAGAACUUGUUUGCACCACUUAAAGAAAUGGAGGAUCUUACUCGACGCCUAUGCUGGGAGUUAUUGAAGAAGGAGGGUGACAUUUAUAUUUGGAGGAAGCCAUUGAAUAAUAGUUGCUAUCUCAGUCGCGCUCCAGCAGUUCAACCUUCUCUAUGUUCAGCUGGUGAUGAUCCAGAUAAUGUCUGGAAUGUAAAUUUAACGAAAUGUAUUACCCAAUUACCUGAGAAUGGCUAUGGAGCUAACGUGACUGCUUGGCCUGCACGCCUUCACUCUCCACCGGACAGGCUGUUUAGUAUAAAAAUGGAUGCUGAAUUAUCUAGGAGGGAAAUUUAUAAAGCGGAGUCAAAUUUUUGGUAUGCUGUAAUAAAAGGAUAUAUUGGUGCUUUCCGUUGGGAAAAGUUAAACCUACGAAACGUGCUGGACAUGAGAGCUGUAUAUGGGGGGUUUGCAGCUGCGUUGCAUGAUUUCAACUUCGAUUGCUGGGUUAUGAAUGUUG